rnacentral:rRNA from 1 species
UGGGGAAUUUUGGACAAUGGGCGAAAGCCUGAUCCAGCAAUGCCGCGUGUGUGAAGAAGGCCUUCGGGUUGUAAAGCACUUUUGUCCGGAAAGAAAUCCUUGGCUCUAAUACAGUCGGGGGAUGACGGUACCGGAAGAAUAAGCACCGGCUAACUACGUGCCAGCAGCCGCGGUAAUACGUAGGGUGCAAGCGUUAAUCGGAAUUACUGGGCGUAAAGCGUGCGCAGGCGGUUUGCUAAGACCGAUGUGAAAUCCCCGGGCUCAACCUGGGAACUGCAUUGGUGACUGGCAGGCUAGAGUAUGGCAGAGGGGGGUAGAAUUCCACGUGUAGCAGUGAAAUGCGUAGAGAUGUGGAGGAAUACCGAUGGCGAAGGCAGCCCCCUGGGCCAAUACUGACGCCCAUGCACGAAAGCGUGGGGAGCAAACAGGAUUAGAUACCCUGGUAGUCCACGCCCUAAACGAUGUCAACUAGUUGUUGGGGAUUCAUUUCCUUAGUAACGUAGCUAACGCGUGAAGUUGACCGCCUGGGGAGUACGGUCGCAAGGUUAAAACUCAAAUGAAUUGACGGGGUCAUAGCUGUUUCCU